rnacentral:lncRNA from 8 species
GGCAGUGUUCUGCCCACAGCAAAGCACAGCCCCCGUCAGCCAAACUCCCACCCUCACCACCACCAUCAUCACCACCACCACCACCCCCACCAUCACCCCCACCACCAUCACCCCCACCAUCAUCACCAUCACCACCACCACCCCCACCACCACCACCCCCACCAUCACCACCAUCACCCCCACCAUCAUCACCAUCACCACCACCACCCCCACCACCCCCACCAUCACCACCACCACCAUCACCCCCACCAUCAUCACCAUCACCCCCAUCAACACCACCACCAUCACCAGCAUCAUCACCAUCACCAACACCACCACCCCACCACCACCAUCAUCACCACCACCAUCAUCACCAUCACCCCAGGAACCAGCAGCUCCAUUUCUUAUUUCUUUGUGAGAGUCCAUACUGACACCACACUGCCAACAAGAAGAGAUCCUCCUCCCCCACACCCCCUCUCCUCUCUCUCUCCCUGCUCUCCCCUCUCUCUCCCUCUCUCCUCUCUCUCUCUCUCCCCCUCCUCUCCUCUCUCUCUCUCUCUCUCUCUCUCCCUGCUCUCCUCUCUCUCUCUCCCUGCUCUCCUCUCUCCCUACUCCCCUCUCUCUCUCCCUGCUCUCCCUCUCCCCUCUCUCUCCCUGCUCUCCUCUCUCUCUCCCUGCUCUCCUCUCUCUCUCCCUGCUCUCCUCUCUCUCUCUCUCUCUCCCUGCUCUCCUCUCUCUCUCCCUGCUCUCCUCUCUCUCUCCCUGCUCUCCUCUCUCUCUCCCUACUCUCUCCUCUCUCUCUCCCUGCUCUCCCCUCUCUCUCCCUGCUCUCCUCUCUCUCUCUCUCUCCCUGCUCUCCUCUCUCUCUCUCUCCCUGCUCUCCUCUCUCUCUCUCUCUCUCUCUCUCUCUCUCCCUGCUCUCCUCUCUCUCUCCCUACUCCCCCCUCUCUCUCUCUCUCUCUCUCCCUGCUCUCCUCUCUCUCUCCCUGCUCUCCUCUCUCUCUCCCUACUCCCCUCUCUCUCUCUCUCUCUCUCUCUCUCCCUGCUCUCCUCUCUCUCUCCCUACUCCUCUCUCUCUCUCCCUGCUCUCCUCUCUCUCUCCCUGCUCUCCUCUCUCUCUCUCUCCCUGCUCUCCUCUCUCUCUCCCUACUCCCCCCUCCUCUCUCUCUCUCUCUCUCCCUGCUCUCCUCUCUCUCUCCCUGCUCUCCUCUCUCUCUCCCUACUCUCCUCUCUCUCUCCCUGCUCUCCUCUCUCUCUCCCUGCUCUCCUCUCUCUCUCCCUGCUCUCCUCUCUCUCUCCCUGCUCUCCUCUCUCUCUCCCUGCUCUCCUCUCUCUCUCCCUGCUCUCCUCUCUCUCUCUCUCCCUGCUCUCCUCUCUCUCUCUCUGCUCUCCUCUCUCUCUCCCUGCUCUCCUCUUUCUCAGAGAGGAGCCAACAGGUUGGGGGAAGGAGAGAGUUUUGUGGGCCAAAUAAAAGACCUAAAGUAG